rnacentral:rRNA from 1 species
GAGUUUGAUCAUGGCUCAGAUUGAACGCUGGCGGCAUGCUUUACACAUGCAAGUCGAACGGUAACAGGGAGCUUGCUCCGCUGACGAGUGGCGAACGGGUGAGUAAUGCGUCGGAACGUGCCGAGUAGUGGGGGAUAACGCAUCGAAAGGUGUGCUAAUACCGCAUACGAACUGAGGUUGAAAGUGGGGGACCUUCGGGCCUCACGCUAUUCGAGCGGCCGACGUCUGAUUAGCUAGUAGGUGAGGUAAAGGCUCACCUAGGCGACGAUCAGUAGCGGGUCUGAGAGGAUGAUCCGCCACACUGGGACUGAGACACGGCCCAGACUCCUACGGGAGGCAGCAGUGGGGAAUUUUGGACAAUGGGCGCAAGCCUGAUCCAGCCAUGCCGCGUGUCUGAAGAAGGCCUUCGGGUUGUAAAGGACUUUUGUCUGGGAGCAAAUACCCGGUGUUAAUAGCGCCGGGGGCUGAGAGUACCAGAAGAAUAAGCACCGGCUAACUACGUGCCAGCAGCCGCGGUAAUACGUAGGGUGCAAGCGU